rnacentral:rRNA from 1 species
UGCGGUAUUUUAACUGUACUAAGGCAUCAUAAUAAUUUGCCUUAUAAUUUGAGGCUAGAAUGAAUGGUUUGACGAAGGUUAAUCUGUCUCUACUUUAUUUUUUAGAAUUUAAUUUUUAUAGUGAAAAAGCUUGAAUUUUUUAAAGGGACGAGAAGACCCUAAUGAGCUUAUAAUUUUAUGUUUGUCACUAAUAUUAGUGAGGUGAAAUAUAAAUUUAAAUUGGGGUGAUUGAGGAAUAGAAGUAUAUAAGUAACUUCCUUAAACUUAAUGUUGUUGGAUAAAGUAACCAAUAUUUUUUUGCUUAUAAUAUAGUUACCAUAGGGAUAACAGCGUAAUUUGUUUAGAGAGUUCUUAUUGAAAAACAAGAUUGCGACCUCGAUGUUGGAUUAAAGUAACCUUAAGG